UCCCCAAACAGGGAUAACCGAGCACUCUGAAUAUGGCCAGCACCUUCCAUGGAGGCGACUCCCUGAGAAAGGGGAAGUUGCAUGAGUACUAGUAUUCAUCUCUUCUUCUUGACUCUAGAUGAAAUGUGACCAGCUGCCUCACUCUCCUGCAGCGCCUUCCCUACAGCGACAGACCAUGCCCUCCCAAAAUGUCCUCCCUACCAAAUGGACCACGCCCUUCAACCUGUGAGCCCAACUAACCCUCCCUUCCUUAAGUUGCUUUUGUCGGGCAUUUCGUCACAUCAAUGAGGAAAAGAACUAAUACAACCUGACCCUCAAAUCCACAAGGAUUGGCGGGGAAAACAACUUCAGAAUCCUGUUCUCUGACCUCUACUCAUACCAUGGCGUGUGCACUCAACAAACACACUUUCCAGACAAACGAACUAACGAACUUUAAAACGAUGAGACAUCUGGGAAAGAACUUAGGAGAGAAUAAUGGUGACCGUUUGUCUAAUAAAAGACUUCCAAGAAAAGACAACAGAGAAAACAAGUAAAAGAAGAAAGU
rnacentral:lncRNA from 1 species